rnacentral:snoRNA from 1 species
AAGACUAUACUAUUAGGGAUCGUUUCUAUAAUUUGCUACUAGAGAAGGUUCUCUAAUCAUGUCAAAAACCCAAAACCAUAAGGCGGAAGUGCAGUGUUCUCUUCUGAGCAUGAAACUGGCUCUAGGUGUUGUUUUUGGCACUGCCUUCUGCCUUUGUAAUGGUUCUUCUCCUUUGGGACAGUAAGAGGGAGAGGACAUACUCUGAGUGG